UUCAAAAUUGUCUUAAAAGAUUUAAUUCUACUUAAUUUUGUGCGGUAUACAUGCAUCUCCAAGAGCAAGCACUUAAGACCUUGUUCUCUGAGAAAGCAACACUCAACAGCAGGUAAGCAAACUCAAAAUUGGUAGAUUUUGCUUUCCACUUGCUUCCCAAGUGGUUACCGAUACUGGUGUUGUAUUUGCGGAUGUGUGCACAGAAUUGUGGGAAGAGUAUCUGCUCCCAACCUGUCACUCAGCACAUCCUUCAGUCUUCGCGUCUUUAUGUUCUGUUCAUCACAGCAAAGUGUGUUCGGUGGGACACUGCUUCUGUAGGCUAGGGAAGAAAGAUCCCAGGAAAGACAAUGGUAACCGAAGGUAAACUGUAUAGGAAGUGCUAGGUUGACUAACGUUCAACUGGCUCUUUAAUUGUAGGGUCACUCAGAGCCUUUACUGUAUCAAAGUAGAAUGAAACUAUCAAACAGGGAAGCCACAUAAAACUUAAAACACAAUGAGUAUCUGAGGGUUGCCCAAAUGUAUCUAUAUAAACUUUUUCUUCUAGAGCAUCUCAUAGGAUUUGGGAAUUUAGAGAAAUAAUCGCCAUAUUUUUCAGGACUCUUCAGGUGGCAAGUAAUGGACACCAAACAAUAGUUAUGGCAAAAAGAGGAAACCAUUUGCUCAGGUAAUGAAGUGGAAGGUGGGACCAGGACGGGGAUGGCCUUGGGCCACUGCAGGGACAAUAGUGCGCACUGUGCAGUGACCUGUGUGGGUGCCGUUCAACGUGCUUCCUGUGCGUUGAUUGUUCGAUCACCCCAGAGCCCUGGGAGUUACGCACUAUUGUUAUCUUCUUUCUACAGAAGUGGGAACUCAGGUUCAGAGGGGUUGUUUCCCAAGGUCACCCAAGCAGCCUGACUCAGCCCGCACUUGGAACCACUAUGCGUUCUGUGUCUCCAGGGACUUAAAUGCUGUCAGGGUUUAUUUUCUCUGUGUGACUCUCGUGUCCUUGGGUCUGUUUCAUGCUCUUCAAUGGAGUUUCCCCUUGAGAUUCCAGCCCUGGCUCCCAACGCUUAGUUUGCCCCCUCACCUCCUUCCCAGGAAAGGGCUCCUCCCACUUCAGGUUCUGUUUAAAACAUUUUGGAGAGAGGCUGUGAUUAGUCUUUGACCUGAGGUCACGUGACCAACCUUGAGAGGCAGGUGCGCAUUUAAUCAGCUCAGUUCACGUGUCACUGCAGUGGCUGGGAGAGGAGAGACUAAAGAUUAGCUGCAUCUACUGUAUCACCAGGUCUUAAUGGGUCACGGGAAGCAAGGAAAGAAAGAAGGUGUGUGUUCAGAGGAGGCGCUGGGCACUGAUAUUCCAAACUCUGACACACCCUGGCAUCUUUAGGGGUGAAUGGGAGGGGUGUGGAGAGCUGCUAGCAGGGCUCCUAGCACGGGAGUAGGUUGGAUUCAUCAUGGCUACGCUCUUAUUCAGGCUGCGGAAGCGAAAGACCUUCCUUUUACCAGCAGUGCUAAACUAAGCAGGUGGAAGAAGUAGCUAGGAAGUGCGCUUUGUGUAGAAGUCACAGAGUCAGAGCAAGAUGUGGCUCUUAGGGCAAGGUCUAAGCCUCAGUGGUCAGGCCAAGCCGGAUGCAAACAACACCAGGUCAGAAGUCCAGGGAAUGGGGCGGCCGGAUCCAAAAUUGUCAUAAGGCACAGCCGUGCUCAGAUGGAACGGGCUGGGAGCCACCAUCCAGAGGGCCGAUCUGAGUGAGAGGGCGCAGGCAGGAGUCCAAACAGGCAGGAGGUCCAGCAUGAAGCGAGGUCCGAGUGGACCCCCCGGGGCUGGAGGGCAGGAGCCCAGCUGGGUGAGGUCACGACCCAGUCCUCAGAUGUAGAACAGGAGACAGAAAACAAUGCCUUGGAUUCCAAACCCAGGGCCUGACUGCGGAGCCAAGUGAUGCCAGAGGGAAUUUCCUCCAGUUCCUAGAAGGGAAAGUCAACACAAACAACGCACUGAUUUACCUCAACCAGCUGUACCCACACGUGCUAAAGGUCAUCUCUGAUUAUGUUUGCAGGGACAGGCUGUCAGAUCCCAAACAGCGCCGUGCCGUGGAGCGCGGUGAUGUCAGCGGCUUCGGUUCUGAAGGGUGGUCUUCUUCAGACACGUAGGGCUGCAGAGGUCGUGUGACUUGCCAAACUUACAGAGAAAAUGCGAGAGCCAGAAAAGAAACCAAGUCCUCUGACUCCUGUGGUUUCUAGACCCAACCUGCUUUAAGACCCAGGACUUCUGAAUUAAGGGGAGGCCAUGUUUCUGGGAGGAAGGACCCUGCAGCAGCAUGGCAAAUGUAUAAGGUAACCAUUCCCCUGAUCCUUUCUCUGAGAGACUUAUGGCCAUUUGCUAAGAUAACCAGUCCAACACUUCAAGGGCUAUGGGACCUAGAGUUGACAUUGCUCUCUGGGGACCCAGAAUGUUUUCGAGGACCACAUUUAUCAUGGGGGCAGGUGGGACACCAGGUAAUAAAUGGAGUCCUGACUCUGGUCCACAGUUGGUCUGCUAGGUCUGUAGACACUGCAGGGAGAAAAGUCUUCAAAAUACUUUUCUGUAUACCAGGAACAACAAAAAGAAAAUAAAUACCAAGUUUUAAGAAGCCACAAACAGCCCAAAUUACAUAUUACAAGUUAUUCAACCUACCUUGAUGUGAAAGUUCAAAUUAGGUUCGGAUAUAUUGGCCAAAAACUCAAAGGAUGGCGUAAAAAUAUAUGUGUUUAUUCAUUUUUGUAAAAGACGUCUGCAGGCUUAUCACUAGGGACUGAGACCCCGGUUUUGCUACGCCACCACCCCUAGCAUGAGGGCUCGGUCCCCAAGGACAUUUCUAAUAUGACUGUUGCAGCUCCAGCCAUCAUGUAAAAUUCCCAGGAAGGUGGGAGAGAAAGGGCCAAGGGACUCCCUUUAAAGAGCCUUCCUAAAAUAUUUUUAACCAACAAAUUCCACUUCCCUCCGAUUAGCCAUCCUUAGCUUCACAUGGCCAUACUCAGGGUCAUGGGAGCCUAACCAGUACAUGUUUUUCACAGAGAGGAUUGUUGCCUUGGAUAAAAUGGGCUCUGUUACUAAGGUCAAAGGGGAGAAUGGUGCUGGAUGGACAACCAGUCCUCUU